rnacentral:misc_RNA from 1 species
CGCUCGGCGUGGACGGGGACG